CGACAGCAAUGACAUCACGGCAGCGGCGGUGUGACGGGUUCGACGGAGGCACAGCCACGGUGACGCGACGGUGCGGCUUCGACGGCGUUCGGCUCCUCGGCUUCAGAUCUGACGGUGACGUGACCUCCUUCGGCGGCGUGAAGGCAUGGCGGCGCGGAAUAGAGCCUCCCUCCUUCCCUAGUUCUCGCGUUUUCUUCUCCCUCACGUCAGACUCUCUCUCUCUCUCUCUCUCUCUC
rnacentral:lncRNA from 1 species